GCAGGCAGGGGCGGCCAGCGCCACACAGCAGAGAAGAGGCCGUCAGGGUGGAGGAAACUCUGGUCAACCAGAAGGGCGACGGCAAGAGACACCGCUGCUCAACGCUGGGACCCUCGGGAGCCCUCGGCUAAAGGGGUCCGGAAGCCCUCGAAGCGCGAGGCCGUCUGAGCCUCCAGCCGGAGCCGCCGCCUCCACCGCCCAGCGAGAUAGGGCUCCUCCGAUACUCCCUCCCGCCUAGGGCACCACCCCGCUGCGCUCCGCGGCCCCGCCACCCAUCCUCCCUCUUCACCUGCCACCACCCCACCCGCCGUGCCCUCCCGCAGCCCGGAGGGAGAGCACCGGUCGGGUGGCCCUAGCCCCGCACAUGCGGGUUCCGCACGCGAACGCAGCGCCUCGGCACGGCCCGCGGCAAGUGUUCCACCCUCACCUGGCCCGGCCGCGGUUCCCUUCCUCCUCGCUCCCCCUGCCGGCCGCACCUCCACUGCGGUGCGAUAGGAGGCCUGACUGGGAGCUCCCUUGCGUGGAUCAGGAAGGAUGGACCGCCUGGAAUUGCUUACAGCGCCUGCUUGGACACCGCCUCGGGGGUCUCGAGGAAAGCCCACCGCCAGGAGCUGCCCUCACCAUCCUCCCUGCCGCCAUCAGUCGCUCCGCCCCAGGGCCCCAGAGAAGGGCAGGCAGCUGGGGGCCCAAACUUCGCCGGAGCCGGGACAGGCCCGCGCGCCCAGAGGCUCUGCCCUCUCCUCCCGGCUGCACUCCCACCUCUUGACUCCCAGCCCUCGGCCACAGGCGCCAACACAGCAGCCUUGGCACUCCCCGAUCGUCCCUCUAUCCCACGAAAGUGCUUGGCCCACAACACUGGCAAACGCGACACUGCGGGUGACCCUAGUGGGCGUGGACGAGCCAAGACCCCAAACCUGGGAGGCAGGCUGGUGGGGCCACAUGCCAGGGUUGCCCACGGGGCCGCUGACCUGUGGCCGCGGAUCCUUAGUCACAUCCCAGCCUCGGAGCCACGGAGUGGGGAGAAGAACCUCGGGCAGGGAUAGCGGGGGAGGAGCAGGAGCAGGAGCGGGAGCAGGAGCGGGAGCAGGCACGGGCUCGGCGGUCUGCAUCAAAACCGGGGUCGGACAUUCAGUCCUGCAUGCGGAGGCGCUGGCAGGAGUGCUGUCUGCCCCAGUGCAUAGGCAGUGGGCUUGCAGCCCCUGCGGAGGGUGCUGAGUUAGAACUGGGGGGCUGUGGGGACUCCUGGAGUGGAGUGGCCCAAGCCAGAGCCAGAACGGGGGCCAGGUCUGCCUCCAGGGAGUCCAGGGAGGGCUGGAGACAGAAGCAGUUUCCUACCCUGCCUGCCAGGGCAGGGCGCGUUUGGGUCCACUGCCAGAUCUCCUGUGCCACCGCAGACACUGCCUACGAUGAGGAAGGAGGCUGUUCCUGUUACCCAGCCUGGGGUCUCCAUGGGAGUCCUCCCCAACCUGUGGCUUAGGUGGCCCCACUGCUCCUUGACCUUGCCCUCCCUGGGCUCCUCUCCUCCCUAGUGCCCGCCUCCUGACACGGAAGUCCCCACCAAGCCCAUCCCCACGUGUCCUCGGCAUUGGGCCUUUACUCAAACUGCUAGGGUGGUGGGUUACUGUGGCUGGUUCCAAGCUCUGCGGGGUGUGCCAGACAGCAGACAGGAACCCUGCCCAGGAGCUCCAGGCCCGCAGCCAGGUUCCCAGGAAGGGGCCCAGGGCUUGGAGGCGGUGUCCCUGUGAGCCUGGUCAGGCAGCUGACCACAUAGCUGGCAAAGGCCUGGGAGUUAGACACAGCCUGGUGUGCACACUUUGUGGCUGGGAGGACACUGGACAGGAUGAUAGGAGAUGUGGCCCUCUCACCCCGCAAAGGGCAUUCCCUGGGACUCUUCCUAGGCCCCAACGCCACCUGCUCCCUGGUUCCAGAGCAGGGUCUGACCCACUUCAGAGUCCUAGUGCCUGGACCCUAGGGGACAAAUGACUACAGGAUGGACAAAGAGAACAGCGAGACCCUGAGAGAGGCAGACAUGGGAGGGGGUAACGGGUGGAGAGAAGACUGAACAGGGAGGCACACAGCCCUGUGACACUAGCCUCCUCCCAGCUGGGAGGGGACAGGUCAGGGUCUGCACAGCCAGCCGCAUACAGCUGACCCCCAACCUCCUGUCACCAGGCCUAGCUGUCCCCCUGCAAUUAUGGGUGCAGUGUUCUGGGCCAAGUUCCCAGGAGGACAGAUGUGGGGAGAUGAUGAGAGGGAUGGCUGGGCCGGAUGGGUGAUGGCACCCUCUGUCCCCCGACCUCGCCAGGCACCAGGACUCCCUGCAGACUGGAAGUUCCCACAACUCCAGAACAAACAAACAAACAGACAGACUGAUGGACAGCCCAGCCCUGGACCCCUCUCCAAUUUCUGAGGCUGUUGAUUUAGCUGCCCACUUGGUGGGAGGACCCAGCCACAUGGGGAGCUGGCUGUCCAUCUGUCUGUCCAUCUCCUGGCCACACUAGCCCCUCCACCCCAGGUGCAGCCAGGCAGAGGUGAGGUUCUGAGACCCUGGAUGACCUGUAUGCAGGCUGCUGAGGUGGCUGGAUCUCAGCCUGGGGGGCCAGCUGAGGAACCAGUCCCUGCUAGCCCCCUUCCCCUCUGUGGCCCCAGCAGGGGGAGCCACACUUGCCAGGGGAAGGGACUUGUCCCAAAAGACCCUGGAGGAGUGUUGGCUGAGGGUGAGUGGCCAGAAGAUGGACACGUGCAGACACGCCCCUCCAGUUCCUCUGGGCAGCAGGGAACCCUGACUGGACAAUAGCUCCCACUUGUCCAUGUUCAAGGACCCACACCACCACGUGCACACACACUCACGAGCAUGGGCAUGAGUGCAUGUGUGUGUUCACACCAUGUUCCUACUCAGGCACACAUACAUGGGAGUGUGGGCACAUAUGCCUACACAUGUGAGCAUAUCAAUAUUUGACCGUGGGUACAUGUGUCCACAUGCACACAACGGACACAGACGUGAGCAUGGGCACACACAGGCACACUGCAUGCAGACACAUGGACUGGGCCCAGACGCACACACGCACACUGUAUGCCUGCAGACACGUGGGCACUCUCCAUGUACACAAACGUGAGCACGGGCAUGCAUGCACCUCUGUACAUACACAGACACACGUGAGCAUGGACACACACAUGCACAUAGCAAACACCAACACAGACACCAGUGUGGGAGAGUGUGCAUGCACCGGCAUGUGUAGCAGACAUACAUACAGGCACACACAUGUGCAGGCUUGUCACUCACAGUGACCGCUGUAAUCCUUCUGUAAUAAUGAUGAUGCUCACAUGCGCCUUGGGUUGACUUGAGUUGGGCGAAGCACUGUGGAAGCUUGCUGCUGCGUGAGGAAGGAGGAGUGCAAUAUUUCAGGCCUCUCCUGCUGGGUCAUUCGUGAAGGGGAUGUACUCGAUGAUGGUGUUUGACAGGCCAGGCUGCUUCCUUGGACAUUGAUACUGGAAGAGACUCUCAAGACAAGAUCGCUCUACAGGGAACCUUCUGGGUGGAACUCCCUGGGAGGCCACUUUCCAUGCUCAGUCCCCAACCCUGAAUCCUGCUUGGUGGUGAAUGAGCCCCGGGAAGCUCUGAGAAGGAAGGCUCUGGGGACAGGGCCAGAGGCAAUGAGGAAUGACAGCUAAGCCGGUGACCUCAGCACCUUUGUUAAUGGGUCCUAACGAGGCCAUGCCCCCAUAAACAUUGGAUAUGUCGUAUCUCUCUUUAAAGAUGCUCUAAGCAUUUAAAGUAAUCAAAU